GGUUAAGCGACUAAGCGUACACGGUGGAUGCCCUGGCAGUCAGAGGCGAUGAAGGACGUGCUAAUCUGCGAAAAGCGUCGGUAAGGUGAUAUGAACCGUUAUAGCCGGCGAUGUCCGAAUGGGGAAACCCAGUGUGAUUCGUCACACU
rnacentral:rRNA from 1 species